rnacentral:rRNA from 1 species
AUGCCAAGAAGCAGCUCGAGGACAAGGAAGGUGAGUAACACCUUAUUAAAAUUGUACCUUAUAGAAAAGGAUUUUGGUUGCAAAAAGAAUGACAAGGAUAACAUGGGUAUUGCAGGGGCCACUAACGAGGUGGCGACCCUGAAAGAGGCGGUGGCCGCGGCCGAACGCAAUGCGGCCGCGGAGCGCACCGAGCGAGAGAAGCAGGAGGCGCGGGUGGCGGAGGUACAGCAAGAGCUCCAGGAUCUCGUGAAAAAACAUGAGAGCCUGGAGCGUGACUCGAAGACUCGAGAGUCUGAGCUUGCAACGGCUCUUGAGAGUGCCAAAGCCACUAAGGCCGAAGCCUACAAGGCCCUCCAGGAGAUUGAGGCGGUGAAGAAAAUAGCAGCGGGUAAGGCAUUUUUCAUGCAAAGUAAGCAUGUGAGUGUUAAUUACUUGUUGCUUACCCGAAUUCGGAGCUCUCGAGGAGCGUUCGCAGAUCUUCCUCACAGCGUGUCCGAUGCUGCCGCAUUCUACCGGGCCGAGGAGGGGAGCUCGAUGGAGAAGGUCUUCUGGUCUCAGUAUGAUAAGGCCGGACAUCCGGUGCCCCUUAGCGACCACCUGAAGCAGCUGGUCGAGCUCCACAAGGCGGCCGAACAGGCCAUGAAGGGCCUCAUAGUUUGGCUGUGGCCUAAGGAGGCCAUGCCUGGGAGCUACUUCGGCCUGGUGCGGCGGCUGGUGGGUGCGUGCUCGUCGGUUGAAGUCAUGAAGCACUCCGCCUGUAUUGAGGGUGCCCGUCGGGCUCUUGCCUGCACAAAGGUGCACUGGGGCAAGAUGGAUGCCCAGAAGCUUGUGAAGGACCCGCUACCAGAGGGCAAGGAGCAUCGCACGCCCGAGAUGUAUUAUAAGAGUGUGCUGAAGGGCGCCCGCACUAUUGCGGGGGAGUGCUCCAAAGAUGUAAUUUUUGAGUAG